rnacentral:lncRNA from 1 species
GGAGGGAGCAUUGGGUGACUUAGUGGGUGGCAAGGACCCUAUGUCUAUGCGGAUCUUAUGCUGAUGAAGAUCUUAGGUCGGGAGGUUCUCAUGUUGAGGAGAACAGGUGGGAGGAGUAAAGUUGAUAAGGAACGUGUCCCUCCCCAGGUGAAACCUUUCUCUUUUUAUUUGGUUCUCAGGGAACCAGGAUGUCUUCAGCUGAUGUAAUCCUGCCCUGGAGUGUCACAGCAUCUUGGGACCAUUGAGGUUUUAGCUGUGACCGGAGGGAAAAAUGGAAUUAUGUUUUGGAACGUCAUAGCCAGCCUAUGGGAAAGAAGACUAGGUCUAACAUAAUUUGUGAAAUGAUUUUUUCCCCAAAUUACAUUGAAUUGCUCCUGACACCCAGGAGUCUCCCAGAGAUGUGUCCCUUGAGUGAGGACAGCCUUCGAAUCGUCCUUCCCCUCCCUGUGGUACCUGGCUCCAGCCUGUAUCUCUUCCGGUCCCACACGCCUGUGGGGCAUGCUGGGCACACUGCUGAGUUUGGUCCUGAACCCUCCUGAUUGCCCUUCAGACCUCAGUUGGAGACUUGUCCGCACCUGAAGUUUCCAGGUGAGGCUGCGUGGAGGGGUUGUCCAUGCCCACGCGGGCUGCACAGCACUGUUUGUCCUUGUCCCUCCUCA